AUAAAUACAGUGAAUUGAAAUAGUAAGCUAUGCAUUUAGGCAAAGAGAGUAUCGGUUUGGUGUGACGAUAUCCAAAUAAUUAGCUGAAUACAUCAAGGAGUAGAAUGCUGAAAGUAGUAGGCAUCUCCGGGUACACCCGUUAUAGUGUUAGAGUAUGAACCAUGAUAAUAUGGCGUACUUGAUGAGGCUAAUAGGGUGAUCUAUUAGUGAAUAAAGGUGGUACCACGAAGUUAUCUCGUCCUUUGA
rnacentral:ncRNA from 1 species